UUAGGGCUACACACGUGCUACAAUGGCGGUACAAAGGGCGGCGAGCUCGCGAGAGUCAGCGAAUCCCUUAAAGCCGGUCUCAGUCCGGAUCGGAGUCUGCAACUCGACUCCGUGAAGUCGGAAUCGCUAGUAAUCGUGAAUCAGAAUGUCACGGUGAAUACGUUCCCGGGCCUU
rnacentral:rRNA from 1 species